CCUACGGGAGGCAGCAGUGGGGAAUAUUGCACAAUGGGCGCAAGCCUGAUGCAGCCAUGCCGCGUGUAUGAAGAAGGCCUUCGGGUUGUAAAGUACUUUCAGCGGGAGGAAGGGAUGGCGUUUAAUACGCGCCGUCAUUGACGUUACCCGCAGAAGAAGCACCGGCUAACUCCGUGCCAGCAGCCGCGGUAAU
rnacentral:rRNA from 1 species